UACAGAGGUCUCAAGCGUUGUUCGGAUUCAUUGGGCGUAAAGGGCGCGUAGGCUGCGGGGCAAGUCGGGUGUGAAAUCUCAGGGCUCAACCCUGAAACUGCACUCGAUACUGCUCUGCUUGAGGACUGGAGAGGAGACUGGAAUACUUGGUGUAGCAGUGAAAUGCGUAGAUAUCAAGUGGAACACCAGUGGCGAAGGCGAGUCUCUGGACAUUUCCUGACGCUGAGGCACGAAAGCCAGGGGAGCAAACGGG
rnacentral:rRNA from 1 species